rnacentral:lncRNA from 1 species
UUAAAUGCACCAAAUGUAGCAGGAAAAAACAAAUAUGGAAAUGAACUUUGAGGUAUUCAUUCGGCUUAUAACGAUUUAAGGUAGAAAUGCUCAACAGAAGAGACAAACAUAUUUUUCAGUGGAAAUCCUCCUUAUCUAAACUCAAUACAAAAAGUUAAUUAGAAUGCUGUAUGAUCAAGGUAUAAUCUGAUGCUUGGGUGGAGUAAUGGGUUACUAUGCAUCUGCUUAAUUACCUGGAGUCGGUUUUACUCAAAGAUACGGCUAAGAUUAAUUAUCGCACCGCUAAAUUAUCACGUCGUUAUUGGUUUAACGCCGUCACGUGGCGACCCCCUAUGGAACCGUAGAGGGUUAGUAAAUUUUAUAGGGGGUUCAUGACGUCACGUCUACUAUUAAUGGUGACGUCAUCUAUUACUAUUGUUGUGUGUCAUUGUUUAUUUUUCAACAAACGCAACAGAAAAAGACCAGCGUGCAAUAAAUUCGUAUACGGUUAUCUACUACCACCUACGGAACUCAUCCCCUGUGGAUUUUACUAACCCUCUAUGGAUCCGUUGGGAAUCAGUAGCGAACCAUAUAACUUUUAUGGUAAGUGUAACGCGACGGUACCCUAAUUGCACCUAUUUUAUUAGUUUUUUUUUUACCUACGUUUGUUUUAUGAUAAAGAAAGAAAAAAUCCAUUCUGUGCUUAUUUUGUAGCCGUAUCUUUCUUUAUCAUAUUGGUACUACAAUUUGAUUUUAAUCCAUAUAUCAGCCAUAGAAAAAUAG